UAAGCGAAUUCUGGACAGUGAGGU
rnacentral:piRNA from 1 species